rnacentral:lncRNA from 1 species
GAUAAUUCCAAGUUCAAAGUUUUAUUCCUACUGUUUCCCACAGGAGGCUCUAAUCACAAAGCCGGUAAGAAGAGGCCCUUGCUCUGGUUUGAAGCUCCCCACUGAGCACGUUCCGAGUUUCUGGUCUCAUUGGCACCGUGUGUUGAACUCAGUCGACAACUUUGUCUUCUUUCCUGCAGCGAUUCUGUAGCUGAGCCCUCCAGGUCAAACACCUUUAUAUCCUCUUCCCCUUCAUGUCUGCAUUUCCCUGGAGGAGGGAAACAAGCACGCCUUCUCCCUUCCAGACUCCAAGGUGACAGGGAACUCAAGAGAGACCCAGAGAGAAGAUAUUCUUUCUACUUCUGGUGAGCAUUCUGAGCAUGUUGUUUAAAGGGUCAAGAACUUGACCUCAGACAUAGAUAAUAAAUUAAAAUAUGUGUAUAUGUUAGACCCUAAC